rnacentral:rRNA from 1 species
UUUGGCAUAUCAAUAAGCGGAGGAAAAGAAACCAACCGGGAUUGCCUCAGUAACGGCGAGUGAAGCGGCAAAAGCUCAAAUUUGAAAUCCUUCGGGAGUUGUAAUUUGUAGAGGGGUGUCUUUGGGGCGGCAUUGUCUAUGUUCCUUGGAACAGGACGUCACAGAGGGUGAGAAUCCCGUGCGAUGAUGCCUCAACCAGUACAAGACCCUCUCGACGAGUCGAGUUGUUUGGGAAUGCAGCUCUAAGUGGGUGGUAAAUUCCAUCUAAAGCUAAAUACUGGCGAGAGACCGAUAGCGAACAAGUACAGUGAUGGAAAGAUGAAAAGCACUUUGAAAAGAGAGUGAAACAGUACGUGAAAUUGUUGAAAGGGAAGGGUAGGAGGUGAGGGGAAGAGCUGCUUAGGCGCGGGAGAUAAACAAGCAGGAAGCGCUUCGGUGCGGCCUGGUAAAUAUCCCGUGCUUGUGUGGUUCUUCCGUAAUCCCCUUCUACCGCCCGUCUUGAAACACGGGACCA